rnacentral:SRP_RNA from 8 species
GCCGGGCGCGGUGGCAUGUGCCUGUAAUCCAAGUCACUGGGAGGCUGAGGUUGGUGGAUCAAGUGAGCUGAGGAGCUCUGGGUUGCAGCACGCUACGUCGAACGGGUGUCCACGCUAAGUUCAGUACCGAUAUGGUGAUCCUGGGGGAGCCCGGGACCACCAGGUUGUCUAAGGAGGGGUGCACCGGCCCAGGUCGGAAACGAAGCAGGUCAAAUCCCCUGUGCUGUCCAGUAGUGGGAUAAUACCUGUGAGUAGAUGCUGCAGUGCAGCCUUGGCAAGACAU